AGUAACACGUAUGCAAUCCACCUGUAACAGGGGGAUAACCCGGAGAAAUCCGGACUAAUACCCCAUAAUAUGGGCGCUCCGCAUGGAGAGCCCAUUAAAGAGAGCAAUUUUGGUUACAGACGAGCAUGCGCUCCAUUAGCUAGUUGGUGAGGUAACGGCCCACCAAGGCAACGAUCGGUAGCCGGACUGAGAGGUUGAACGGCCACAUUGGGACUGAGACACGGCCCAG
rnacentral:rRNA from 1 species